AUUGAACGCUGGCGGCAGGCUUAACACAUGCAAGUCGAGCGAGCGGCGGCCGGGUGAGUAAUGUCUGGGAAACUGCCUGAUUGAUGGGGAUAACUACUGGAAACGGUAGCUAAUACCGCAUACCAUCAGAUUGUCCCAGAUGGGAUUAGCUAGUAGGUGGGGUAAUGGCUCACCUAGGCGACGAUCCCUAGCUGGUCUGAGAGGCUGAUCAGCCAGACUGGAACUGAGACGAGGUCCAGACGCCUACGGGAGGCAGCAGUGGGGAAUAUUGCAGAAUGGGAGCAAGCCUGAUGCAGCCAUGCCGCGUGUGUGAAGAAGGCCUUCGGGUUGUAAAGCAUUUUCAGCGAGGAGGCGUUACUCGCAGAAGAAGCACCGGCUAACUCCGUGCCAGCAGCCGCGGUAAUAC
rnacentral:rRNA from 1 species